UACAGAGGGUGCGAGCGUUGUCCGGAAUCACUGGGCGUAAAGGGCGCGUAGGUGGCGCUGCAAGUCGGUGGUGAAAGCUCGUCGCUUAACGACGAGUCGGCCAUCGAAACUGCAGGGCUCGAGCACUGUAGGGGCAGAUGGAAUUCCGGGUGUAGCGGUGGAAUGCGUAGAGAUCCGGAAGAACACCAGUGGCGAAGGCGGUCUGCUGGGCAGUUGCUGACACUGAUGCGCGACAGCGUGGGGAGCAAACAGG
rnacentral:rRNA from 1 species